rnacentral:rRNA from 1 species
GGUUAAGCGACUAAGCGUACACGGUGGAUGCCCUGGCAGUCAGAGGCGAUGAAGGGCGUGCUAAUCUGCGAUAAGCGCCGGUAAGGUGAUAUGAACCGUUAUAACCGGCGAUACCCGAAUGGGGAAACCCAGUGUGACUCGUCACACUAUCAUUAACUGAAUCCAUAGGUUAAUGAGGCGAACCGGGGGAACUGAAACAUCUAAGUACCCCGAGGAAAAGAAAUCAACCGAGAUUCCCCCAGUAGCGGCGAGCGAACGGGGAGGAGCCCAGAGCCUGAAUCAGCAUGUGUGUUAGUGGAAGCGUCUGGAAAGGCGCGCGAUACAGGGUGACAGCCCCGUACACAAAAGCGCAUGUGCUGUGAGCUCGAUGAGUAGGGCGGGACACGUGGUAUCCUGUCUGAAUAUGGGGGGACCAUCCUCCAAGGCUAAAUACUCCUGACUGACCGAUAGUGAACCAGUACCGUGAGGGAAAGGCGAAAAGAACCCCGGCGAGGGGAGUGAAAAAG